CCUACGGGAGGCAGCAGUGAGGAAUAUUGGUCAAUGGCCGUAAGGCUGAACCAGCCAAGUCGCGUGAAGGAAGAAGGAUCUCUGGUUUGUAAACUUCUUUUAUAGGGGAAUAAAGGUAUCCACGUGUGGAUCUUUGCAUGUACCCUAUGAAUAAGCAUCGGCUAACUCCGGUCCAGCAGCCGCGGUAAUCCGGAGGAUGCGAGCGUUAUCCGGAUUUAUUGGGUUUAAAGGGUGCGUAGGUUGUUGUUGAAGUCAGCGGUGAAAGUUUGUGGCUCAACCAUAAAAUUGCCGUUGAAACUGGAAGACUUGAGUGUGUUUGAGGUAGGCGGAAUGCGUGGUGUAGCGGUGAAAUGCAUAGAUAUCACGCAGAACUCCGAUUGCGAAGGCAGCUUACUAAGCCAUAACUGACACUGAAGCACGAAAGCGUGGGGAUCAAACAGGAUUAGAUACCCUGGUAGUC
rnacentral:rRNA from 1 species